rnacentral:rRNA from 1 species
AAGUCGAGCGAACUGAUUAGAAGCUUGCUUCUAUGACGUUAGCGGCGGACGGGUGAGUAACACGUGGGCAACCUGCCUGUAAGACUGGGAUAACUUCGGGAAACCGAAGCUAAUACCGGAUAGGAUCUUCUCCUUCAUGGGAGAUGAUUGAAAGAUGGUUUCGGCUAUCACUUACAGAUGGGCCCGCGGUGCAUUAGCUAGUUGGUGAGGUAACGGCUCACCAAGGCAACGAUGCAUAGCCCGACCUGAGAGGGUGAUCGGCCACACUGGGACUGAGACACGGCCCAGACUCCUACGGGAGGCAGCAGUAGGGAAUCUUCCGCAAUGGACGAAAGUCUGACGGAGCAACGCCGCGUGAGUGAUGAAGGCUUUCGGGUCGUAAAACUCUGUUGUUAGGGAAGAACAAGUACGAGAGUAACUGCUCGUACCUUGACGGUACCUAACCAGAAAGCCACGGCU